UUUACUGUUUUAUAACUUUUAAGGGAAGGCAUCAGUGUAACCAGUCAGUAAAUGUGCAAAUCUCUAGUUGCUCUUAGAAGCUCUGAAGAGUUAACCAUUCAAGCUCUGAUGGGAGAUAUCCUUUCUCUCUCCUGGAAAUUUUACGGAAUGAGAAGAUAUUAUGCCGAUUGGUCUCUUUCUGAAAUUGUUCUGGCUCGCAGGAGCCCCUGCUACUUUGACAGCUGUCGCUUUGGCUGCACAGGAGACGAAUCGCCCUCCUUUUGGUGCCAGAA